GACGCAGUAGCUCAGCCUGGUGGAGCUCCCGUCUGAUAUGCGGAGGGUCGGAGGUUCGAAUCCUUCCUGCGUCA
rnacentral:tRNA from 1 species